rnacentral:lncRNA from 1 species
AAUUAUCCACGCGCCGUGGCAGAAUGUGAGAUAAAGGCAAUGAUUUCUUAUCCCAAGGACACGGUCAAGCAGCCCUUGCCAAGCCUACAGAGAACUGCUGGCCUGAAGGUGAACAGGAGUAUUUCCAUGGAGAUGUUUUCCACAGAAACAGGAGCCAUGAGUGAAAUGGAAAAACCCUUCUGGGCUGCUCUGCCUGCAGAGAUGCUGUGAAAGCUCUGUGAGUCACUUGGGGAAGCCCAGGGUGCAGCCAGGCUCCAGAGAAAGUCCAGAUGCACUUCAUCCCAUCCCUGAGAGUCACUGGAACACAGUUUGGUGUGGGGGGUCCCCAGAGUGCCUGCUCCCACCAGGGCUCCUACACACUGCAGGCUCCUGCACUUGUGCUGUGCCACCACAGCCCUGCACACUGCUGCCCUGCCAGACCUCAGCUGGACCCUCUCCCCUGAAAUUCAGGGGUGCUUUCAACCAGAAACAAGGUGAGGGUGGCUGGGCAGCUCUCUGAGUCACCUGUUUAGCUUUCUCAAGUUCCUCAAGUGUGCUGCAGUUAUUUUUGGUGGGGUUGGAUGCUGGCCAGGUGGUUGGGACCUGCUGACAUUUAUGAUUUUUCUUUUUCUGCAUAACAAAAGUUUUGCUAAAUGAGAAGGAAACAAACUCAGUCCCAGGUUUCACCACGUGUUUAAAACAAGAUAAAAGCAAUUCUGGGCUGGCUGUGGUAUCCUCUAGAGCUGUGGAGG